AUAUCAAUAAGCGGAGGAAAAGAAACUAACAAGGAUUCCCCUAGUAACUGCGAGUGAAGCGGGAAAAGCUCAAAUUUAAAAUCUGGCGGUCCCCGGCCGUCCGAGUUGUAAUCUGGAGAAGCGUUUUCUGCGUUGGACCGUGUACAAGUUUUCUGGAACGAAACGUCAUAGAGGGUGAGAAUCCCGUCUUUGACACGGACUGCCAAUGCUCUGUGAUACGCUCUCGAAGAGUCGAGUUGUUUGGGAAUGCAGCUCAAAAUGGGUGGUAAAUUCCAUCUAAAGCUAAAUAUUGGCGAGAGACCGAUAGCGAACAAGUACCGUGAGGGAAAGAUGAAAAGCACUUUGGAAAGAGAGUUAAACAGUAC
rnacentral:rRNA from 1 species